rnacentral:rRNA from 1 species
AGUAAUGUAUGGGGAUCUGCCCGAUAGAGGGGGGUAACUACUGGAAACGGUGGCUAAUACCGCAUAGUGUCUACGGACCAAAGCAGGGGCUCUUCGGACCUUGCACUAUCGGAUGAACCCAUAUGGGAUUAGCUAGUAGGUGGGGUAAAGGCUCACCUAGGCGACGAUCUCUAGCUGGUCUGAGGGGAUGAUCAGCCACACUGGGACUGAGACACGGCCCAG